ACAUCAUAAAAGAUUCAUCUCAAGUGGAGGAAAAAACAAAUUUGGUCGAUAUUGAUUCUUCCAGUGAAAGUGAUGUUGUUGAUUUCAAAGCUUCAAGGAAAAAGGAUUUCAGCCGCAUCAUAUGCAUGUUACUUAAUGGACAAGGAUUUCAAAGUGAAAGAUGUAAGAUGUCAAUGAUUCGGGAAAAGAAAAUGAAAGAGUUCUGUGAACUUAAGGACGAAUGUUGGAGACAAACAUAGCUUCAGCAUUUGGAAGUCAUUUGUUCGAAAAGCACGCAAAUAUGACUCUUAUCCAUGUGAUAACUGUCUUAAGAAGUGUGAGAUCCCACGUCGCUGCAAUGGACACCAUUCCACCUUCAUUCUUGGGACAACAGUUCAGCCCUCUAUUAUUUUGUCAUGGCGCCUUCAGAGCAGGCUAGAAAGGCUUCCGUCUUGACUGCAAACUUGCUUGUCCUCAAUCCAGGAGUCUGGAUCGUAUCUCAGUUUCAAUGUGAUUGAUCAUCCUCUCGAACUAGCUAUUGAUCAUUGUCUUGAUAAGCUAUUGUUUCAUCAACUAGCUAAUCAGACAGGAGCACUCCCUUGGGUGGAUUCCUCCUUUUGCUUCUCAGCGUAUGAGGUAUUAGCAUUCGUUUUUGGUUAUUGUUCUCCUCACAAGGUCUGGUUCUUACGCAUUACUCAUCCGCCCGUCGUUGGAAACACCACUUCAUAUCCAACUUGCAUGUGUCUAACUUUCAACGUAGUUCUUCAGUUGAGUUCGUUCUUUUAUUCAAAUGCAGCUCAUUCCUAGUUAACUCUCUUCUCGGGAUGCAUGGACUGGGCGCCCGUUCUUCAUUCCCAUCCUUUAUGUUAUGUAAAUAGAGACUUCUCCUUCCACUC